UCCUGGGGAAAUUUCGCUAAUUGCAUUUCCCUAAUUGCAUGAUGGUAGGACCAUCGCGGAACACCGCUUAAGACGAAGGGCGGGCGACGCGGGCGUCAUGCAAAAGUGACCGGGGAGGGAAAAAGAGGAAGAAAGAGGGAGAAAAAGUGAGAAAGAGAGGAACGGAGGAGCUGGAGAGCUGCGGGAAAAGAGAGCGCAGGCACGAGAAAAAGAAGGCUACGUAGAGCGAGGAGAGCGCGAAGGAGAACGCAUGGGAGUAGCGAGAGAGAACGUCAGCUGGCCGCGUUCUCGCGUGACGACGCUCCGAACCGCCGCGCCGCGGCCGGCUCGGUUUCCCCGUGGCGGCGGCGGCGGCGGGAAGACCCGCUCGUAUCUCUGUCCCUCAUUACUAUUCUAUGUGUCGUAGUAGACGACGAGGGCCGUCGUCGCGCAUCAGGCCCAGUGUAUAGACAACAAGAGAGAAGAGGGCAGUGUGCGUGCCUGCAUCGUGCUGUGUUGUGCUGUGCGUGCACAGGCGCACGCGCACGUUUGCGUCUCGACGAGCCUCCCCUUUUUUUUAUUUUUUUCCCCUUGCCUUUUUCGCUCUCUCUCUCUCUCUCUCUCUCUCCUUCUUUUUCACUCCUCUCUCACUCUUUCCUCAUCCCUCUCGUUCCCUUCCUUUGUUUUUAUUCGCACCCCUGCUCCGCCAGAAUGCCGGGGUGCGUGUCUGCGAAGAGCAGCUCUAGCCACGCUAGCCCGCAGCGCUCGAUGUCAACUCGUUGCCAUGCAUCUGCCUAGCCGGCUGUCACGCUAUCGGCGUGCCUGAGAGAGCGAGAAUCAAUCUUGCACGAAUGGUGCGGCGACGAGGGCGAACGGGUUCCACGAGUUACGACCGUCGUCCAACUUUUGCGAGAGCCUCGUCGAUGCCCACUUCAGAUUUCAUCUCGAUUGACCGUUACAAGUGGAAUCGAAUGGCUCGCGAGAUGACUACGAAAUCUCCCCAUAACUUGCUCGAGUAUCAUAAUGCGUACUCUAAUCGUUGCGAUAUCUUAUCUCCUAUAGCCCAUAAGUUCUCCUUCGAUCUUCAAAUCAAAUCUAAUUCUAUAGUAGACUAUUACAGUAGUUCACGGUAAUGCUUUAAACGUGGUCGCAUGUACUUCACGAUAAAUUUAGAUUUCGCUGAGCUAUUUAAGCGGAAUCAGGCAGAAGAUGCAAAGGAAAGGAUAACAUAACGGAUAAUGUAACAUUACACUUCUUUGUUGUACAUUUGCCUUAAUAAUUGCGCGCGUAACAAGAAUCAUAAUCGCUCGUCUUCACAUUGCGAAUAUCGAACAAUUUAGCAUAAAAAGAAUUAUUAUCGCAAAAAUGCCAACUUUUUUCUCUACAGGAAGACCAUCAACUUGUUGCGGUGUAUUCGUUUUGCCGACGGCUAACACGCCAUCGUUAGAGAGCUAUCUUAUCGGAAAGAAAGAAUAAAAAACGGUAGACAAAGACAACGUAAGAUAAAAAGAUUCAUUAUACACUCGCGAAAAAAUGAUCAAUUAUAAUUGAUACCAAUCACCAGAAUAAAAUAAUUGCGUGAAAUUUUACAUGACACUCCCGACACGAAGCCGCAUUUUAUUAUAGUAAUAUUGCUGUGAAAAAGCAAAUAUACCGAAAAAGUACAGACUUUCAGCCAUUCGAUAUCUACAUACGAAUCUCGCAAAUUAGCAUAACGAACAAAAUCUCGAACGAGGGAGGAUUUUAUGAAAUCGCGAACAAUAUGCAAACAUCAAAUUUAUAUGAGCAAUCAAUGAAUAUUAAAUCGCGGGCAUAAUUGCGCACGCAAUUAUUCUGUACUACUCCGUGUUCUUUAUUCGAAAAUAAGCGAAUUGUGUUUAAAAUAUUUAAAGCGUAAUCAUAAUUGAGACGCGCUCGAAUCUGUCAUGAAAUAAACAAAUCAUGAUCGGCCGUAUAGAUAAAGAAUUAUAAUUUAUAAUAUCUCUCCUUUAUCGAUAAGUGGAAUGAAUAAAUUGCGCGAAGUACGCUACCCGCUUUGAUAAAUAGCUGAUACAUUCACAGUUGUUAAUCACGAGGUUUAAUCGAUCGCGUGAGUUAAUAGUUUCUGAUUACUCAUAAGAAAUGAACGCGUUUCGAUGGGCAAUGCGAUGACACUUGGAGCGAUUCACGCCGCGCUACUCGGCUCGAGUCAGUCGAGUCUCAUCAGGUGAAUGAUAAACACGGCGCGGCGACCUUGUGUAUGUACGCGCCAGCAUCGUAUUAAAACCUAUCAAAACAAACACCAAGGCCAUGUGCUAGUAAAACUGUCAUUUCGAAAUCUGUAGCACUUUAUAUGAAAUAAAUUAUACUGAAUAUA